rnacentral:rRNA from 1 species
UACGGAGGGUGUAAGCGUUAUCCGGAUUCACUGGGUUUAAAGGGUGCGUAGGCGGGCAAGUAAGUCAGUGGUGAAAUCUCCGAGCUUAACUCGGAAACUGCCGUUGAUACUAUUUGUCUUGAAUAUUGUGGAGGUAAGCGGAAUAUGUCAUGUAGCGGUGAAAUGACUUAGAUAUGACAUAGAACACCAAAUUGCGAAAGGCAGCUUACUACACAAUUAUUGACGCUGAGGCACGAAAGCGUGGGGAUCAAACAGG